AGAGUUUGAUCCUGGCUCAGAGCGAACGUUAGCGGCGGGCUUAACACAUGCAAGUCGAACGAGAAUGAGGGGGCAACUCCUCUAGUAAAGUGGCGAACGGGUGCGUAACACGUGGGUAAUCUACCUUUCGGCGUGGGACAACAGACCUAACGGACUGCUAAUACCACAUACGUCGGCGGGAACUCCGGUUCCUGUCGGGAAAGACGGCCUCUCCCUGGAAGCUGUCACCGGAAGAUGAACCCGCGGCCCAUCAGCUAGUUGGCGAGGUAAUGGCUCACCAAGGCUAAGACGGGUAGCUGGUCUGAGAGGAUGGCCAGCCACAUUGGGACUGAGAUACGGCCCAGACUCCUACGGGAGGCAGCAGUGGGGAAUCUUGCGCAAUGGCCUAACGGCUGACGCAGCGACGCCGCGUGUGGGAUGAAGCUCUUCGGAGUGUAAACCACUGUUGCCCGGGACGAACAGCUCGAUUAAUCGAGCCUGACGGUACCGGGUGAGGAAGCACCGGCUAACUCCGUGCCAGCAGCCGCGGUAAUACGGGGGGUGCGAGCGUUGUCCGGAAUCACUGGGCGUAAAGGGCGCGUAGGUGGUUUGAUAAGGGUGUGGUGAAAGUCCGGGGCUCAACCCCGGAUCUGCCGUGCCGACUGUCAAACUCGAGGACUGUAGAGGCAGACGGAAUUCCGGGUGUAGCGGUGGAAUGCGUAGAGAUCCGGAGGAAGACCGGUGGCGAAGGCGGUCUGCUGGGCAGUUUCUGACACUGAGGCGCGACAGCGUGGGGAGCAAACAGGAUUAGAUACCCUGGUAGUCCACGCCGUAAACGAUGGGUACUAGGUGCCUGGGGGAGCGACCCUCUGGGUGCCGGCGCUAACGCAGGAAGUACCCCGCCUGGGGAGUACGACCGCAAGGUUGAAACUCAAAGGAAUUGACGG
rnacentral:rRNA from 1 species